GCUACGCGAAAGGUAGCUGCCAUACCUUUUAAUGCCUGGAGAGAAUACAUAAUUAUAUAGAUUAUAUAAGAUGUGAUAAUAGAUCAAAAUCAAAGAAAAAAUGAACUUAAUGAAUGGAUAAAAGUUUCAGGAAAUGAAAUCUAAUAUUGGCUGUAUAACUAUGUAUAAUUAUGAUAUCUAGUAUUAUUUGUUUCUGGUAAUCUGAAAUCUUUUAUUAACACGUUGGUUAUUGAUGACGUUACGUUAUCAUGGUGUAGUUACUUUCAAAUGCAAAUGGCACCACAUUAGCGUCACGCGCAACAGUUUUCGAAUAGCGUAGCAAAUGUUGACGAUUGCUUAAAAACAAUUUCCGUCACAAUGGAAGGCCACGCGACUUCAACUUAACGAUGAACGUGUUAAAGUAUUAGAUAUAGUAUAUGUCCAUUCUUCCUUUAUUGUAGAUUCGAUUAUUGCGGAGUUCAUACCUUCAUUGCAUCUUCAUCUGUAACAUCAUCACCGGCAUAAAUAAUCCUGAUACGUUCGCUCCAAUCUAAACCAAAUGCCGUACGCAGAAUGUAAAUGGAAGCACGACCCUUGUUCCAUUCAACCGGUGGUCUUGCUUCAAUGGCACAGUGCGCUGAACAGGCUUUGAAACCUGCUUGCUCGAUGAUUUUCUUUGCCUGAUCAACCAUCUGAGAACGUCCUUCCAUUGGCGUUUCACGAUAAUGGAACGUCAGUAACGCUCCUUUGUUUUCUACCCAGGCUCCAUCCUUGCAAAGCUACAUUCAAUACAUUAAAUUUCGUUCAUUACAUUACGUUUCAAUACAUUAAAGUCGUAGGUAAGUAGCUGCAAUUAGUUGCAAUUACAAUUGUUGAAGAUGUUACAUGAUACCUAAUACUCAAAACUCUUAGAAAUAUUUUUUCUACUUUGCUUUUGUUACUAUAAUACAGAAAUGUUAUUGAAAAAAAUACUUAAUUGAAAGAACUGCUACAAGAAUGCUAAGAAGGCAGCUCUAUCUUUGACUAAUUUGAAUAAAUGAAGAAAAAUUAACUCAAAGUCAAUCAAAAUCAAAGUACAUCUUGAAACGUGCUAUAAAUGCAUAGCCAACAAGAUAUUCGUAAUGAUAAAUUACAUUUUUGAAUAUAGAAUCGUCUUCUUUCUUCUUCUUUCAAUAAAGAUAAUCUAAGUAUUGGAAUUACCCCUUUAUUGUCGUAAACUCUUCAAUUAUAAUUAUUACAUUCUAAUAUAACUUUCUUUUUACAUUUCUCAUUAUAAUUCAUUCCUCACUUACAAACAAUAUUAUAAUAUCACAAAAUAUUAAAAUGCUCGAACAAUUUUAAUUGCAAGACGAAUAACAAAUAUUUCAAAAUACUAUCGCUUUGGAAAAAAUAAUAAAAAUAAUACUCACUUGGUCUUGCAACGUUUGCAUCAAAUUUGCCACCUUAUCUUCCAACUCAGCAGGCAUCGGAUGAACAAACUUGCUACCGUCCGGAUGCAAAAUUUCCAAUCCGUGAUUUCCGGCGUACGUAAUACCUUCUAUACCAACCAUGGAUUUCACGUUGUUCACGUUUCUGCCUGAUAUAAUUGCUAUAUAUACAUCGGACAUGUUCGAUAGCCUUUGGAGAACGUUCUUC